UACGGAGGGUGCAAGCGUUAUCCGGAUUCACUGGGUUUAAAGGGUGCGUAGGUGGGCAGGUAAGUCAGUGGUGAAAUCUCCGGGCUUAACCCGGAAACUGCCAUUGAUACUAUCAGUCUUGAAUACCGUGGAGGUAAGCGGAAUAUGUCAUGUAGCGGUGAAAUGCUUAGAUAUGACAUAGAACACCAAUUGCGAAGGCAGCUUACUACCCGAAUAUUGACACUGAGGCACGAAAGCGUGGGGAUCAAACAGGA
rnacentral:rRNA from 1 species